UUGAACAAGAGAACAGAUGGCUUCCC
rnacentral:piRNA from 2 species